CUCAAGACCAAGCUAUGUUGUGGGAACUGGUAAACCAGAAUGUUCUGGACCUUUGUAGAAUCUCAUGGGACCUUCCGGACUUUUGAGAACCACAUUUUCCUCGAACCACCUAGAAUGUUGUUAGCCAUUUCCUCAAGGGUAUAUAAGGGGCAGGACAUCACCAGUCAGUCAGUGAGAUAUAAGAACGAACUGAAGGGCCACUUCUUCUCUGAGUAAUCCCCACUCCAAUCCUACAUCUCCUGAGAAUUCCUACUAUGAAGGUGAAUCAUGCUGGAAGGAACAGACUUGGAACUGCUGCUGAUUCCCCCUAUAAACACUUAAAAGAAAUCCCCACUGAAUAUACUAGCAACUAGUGGCAAUCCUCAAGAGGAGGACUGAGGAGGAGGACUCAUGUGAAAAGUGACUGACACACUGCUCUUCCAAAUGGAACAUCCAUUCUGAUCUGGACUUGGUAUGGACAAAAUAAUACUUUGCAAAUGUAUGAUCUGAGCACCAAGUAGCAGCCAGCAGAUCUCAGUGAACAAAUGCUGCAGAAGCUGCCAGUUUCGCCCAAAUCCCAAUAGUAGAAGAGGUUUGAGUCAAAGGUACAGUUACUUCAUCAAGAUCAUAUCCUGUCUUGAUCCAUUCAGAUCGCAUCUGGACUAAAACUGAUAGGCCCUUACCUCUUCCACCAAAAGCCCCAAACCAUUUUGAGGCCUUUUUAAAAGGCUUUGUCCUAUUGAGGAAUUAACAGAGAGCCCUUUUAAUAUGCAAGGUGUACAGAUUAAGGUGGAUUGCAAAAUCAGGAGGCUUAGAAAAUACUGGUCAAAAAGGUCUGAUUUAAAUGAAAAUCCAUGGCCUCUAUAGUCAAGAUUCUGGGAUGAGAUCUUAAGAGUACUUCAUCCUUGUGAAAAUGUGUAUAAGGAGGCUCUGCAACAAAGCCCACAGUUCUGAAAUGCUCCUCAGAGAUGCUCC